GUUCAAAAAAAACAUAUUCUCUUUCUUCAAAACAGCACUGUUUCACUCCUCUUAACCCUAGGAAUAAAAUCUUUUUUUUUUUCUAAGUUUUUUUUACCUCAUUUCCUCCCUCUUCUAGCGGCUGCUCUCUAAAAAAUUUCUCCUUUUCCAAUCGUACUCUUCUCCCUUAGCCAAAUCAACCACCAUUUUCCUUUUCCUUUCCUUUCUCUCUCACAUUCUCUCUCUUAAAGAGUCGUUGGCAUAUUGGCAAGCAAAUCUACUUUUUUGAGCCUUUUCAGUUCGAGGAUCUUCAAUUGGAGGUGAACUUUGCACAAUUGAUGUUGAGGCAGAAGAGGGAUUCAAAUGAAAUUUAUGAUGUAUUCAUGUUGUUGUAUGUUUAGGGUUGAAUAUGAUGUUUGAUGCUACACUUGUGUUAUUUUUAUGUUGUAUUGUCGUUGAUUGUAAUUACGGAAUUGUUUUUAAUUGUUAGUUAAUAUUAUAUGAAUUAAUGUAGAACAUUUUUUAUUUGAA